GACGAACGCUGGCGGCGUGCUUAACACAUGCCAGUCGAGCGAACAGACGAUGAGCUUGCUCCUCGGACGUUAGCGGCAGACGGGUGAGUAACACGUGGAUAAUCUCCCUAUAAUACUGGGAUCACUACGGGAAACUGGCGCUAAUACCGUAGAAUAUAUUGCACCGCAUGGUUCAAUAGUAAAAGACGGUUUUGCUGUCACUUCUAGAUGCUUCCCCGCCGCAUUGGCUAGUUGGUAAGUUAACAGCUUAGCAAGGCAACGAGGCGUAGCCGAAUUGCGAGAGGGGUCGGCGACACUGGAAGGGAGACGGGGUCCAGACGCCUGAGGUAGGGAGCAGUAGAGAAUCUUACGCAAUGGGGGAGAGCCUGACAGAGCAACGCGGAGUGAGUUGUGAAGGUGUUGGGAGCGUAAAACUCUGUUAUUGGGGGAGAACAAAUGUGUAAGUAAAUGUGCAGGUAUUGACGGUACCUAAUCAGAAAGCCCCGGCUAACUACGUG
rnacentral:rRNA from 1 species